rnacentral:rRNA from 1 species
ACUCAAAGGAAUUGACGGGGGCCCGCACAAGCGGUGGAGCAUGUGGUUUAAUUCGACGCAACGCGAAGAACCUUACCAGGGUUUGACAUCCCCUGACAGCUGUUGAAAGACAGUUUUCUAGCUUUGGUUAGACAGGGAGACAGGUGGUGCAUGGUUGUCGUCAGCUCGUGUCGUGAGAUGUUGGGUUAAGUCCCGCAACGAGCGCAACCCCUACGUUUAGUUGCUAACGCGUGAAGGCGAGCACUCUAGAGGAACUGCCGUUGACAAAACGGAGGAAGGUGGGGAUGACGUCAAAUCAUCAUGCCCCUUAUGUCCUGGGCUACACACGUGCUACAAUGGCCGGUACAAAGGGAAGCGAUGCUGUGAAGCGGAGCGAAUCCCAAAAAGCCGGUCUCAGUUCGGAUUGCAGGCUGCAAUUCGCCUGCAUGAAGUCGGAAUCGCUAGUAAUCGCAGGUCAGCAUACUGCGGUGAAUACGUUCCCGGGCCUUGUACACACCGCCCGU